rnacentral:lncRNA from 1 species
AGCCACACAAACACACACACAGGCACUCAUACACACACACGCACAAGCACAUGUGCAAACACCCCUAAGGGGUUUGUUGCUACUUUGGAUGUAGUCUGGGUAUUUACAGAGCAUAACCCCUUCUGGUUGUCUAGUUUUCCGAUAGAUAAGAGGAUGUUCAUUGAAACUGUAACCUCUCUCCCAAGACACUCCAUAACAGAGAAGAGCAAUCAAUGGCCACAAAGUGUAGAGUAUGAAGAAGAAACCAUUUACCACCGAGUUCAUGAGGGUUCGGAUCAGCAGUUCCUGAGAGCAUUGAGAAUAGGCUUGAAACCAGUGUCAACCUUGUGAGCUUGAGCAUGCAGAGAAGGCUUGCCAGACCAGAGAAACUCUACCGCGGGGGCCAUAAAAGCAUAAUGAGGUCCGGGACACAAGCAUAGAUGGGUAAAACCACAGGUGAAAGACAAAAGGGAGUGGUGGGGAGUGUGGUCUUACUGGCACGCACAUGAAUCCUCUGGUAAUAAAGGCAGCUGUGGCUCAGCUCCCAGCUUAUUACAGCAAGCAAGAAAGCAAAACUCAUUGCAGUGGACUCUUUAAGCUAAUAAGGGAAGCCAAAUAUAUCCAGCUCCUGUUUGUUUUUGUUUGUUUGUUUAUUGUUUUUGUUUGUUUUGUUUAAUAGGAAAUCUAGUUGUUCAAUAUUGGCUACUAUUAUUUUAAUUUUAUUUAUUUAUUUUUAAAGAUGCGGGCAGAAAAGUAGCUUCAUGGUUGUGCUUAGGCAAAAUCCUCUUUCUGGAAAGGUGGGUUGAAAUGAGGGAAAGAAUUUAGGGGUAAGGAGUCAUGGAAAGCCAGAGUUAAGAGUGCAAAAAGAACAGCUCACAUUAAACUAUAAGACUCCAGGUUUCUGCUUAGUAGUUCCCUCCUGAGAAAACCUGUCUUCUGCAGGAGGGCUGGCUCAUUCACUUCCCUGGCCUGUGCUGACGAGGAAAGAGUGUGACCUGGGGUCUGAGGUUUGAAUCUGCUCAGGCCUCCACCUUCGGGCAUUCCAUCAAACCAAGCCGAGAUGGCAAUGGUGCCAUCCUUAAGAUGAGGCUGGGGAGUACUAGGUCCCACUCCAGAGUCCGCAUGCUGCCACUGUGCUGGAAGGUUCUUCAGAAACCACAAGGGGCUGUGCUAGCUUAAGUAGUCUUCUUUGCUUCUGCCUCAGUUACCUUACUUUGCCCAAGGGUCAACCCAGGCACUACCUCAAUGUCUGCUGAGAAGUUUACCUGGGGGUGGGGCGGAAUGAAGGUGUUACCCAUGCUGAAGCUGAAUGUACAAUCUAUGCAAAUCCCUCUCUCUCUCUCCCUCUCUCUCUCUCUCUCUCCCUCUCUCUUUCCCCCUCCGUCCCUCUCCCUCAGUCUGACUCCCUCUUUUUCUUUCCCUUUUACUUACAAGCGUGUGUGUGUGUGUGUGUGUGUGUGUGUGUGUGUGUGUGUGUGUUAUUUUUUUAACCUUAUGAACAAGGACCUCUUAAGACCGAGGAGGGUUGUCACCCACCACCUGUGUAUGUCCCUCCUGUUGUCUUUGGUUCUGUUCUUGCCAAGCCCCCACACUGGGAGAAAGUGGCCUCUCUCCUCCCCUCACUUGGCUAGGAAUAUUCUCACAGCUUCAGCCUGCAGACAUCACCAGGAAGCAGGCACCCCAUCUCACCUCCCCCAUCACAGCACCGUCUUCUCCUUUCUGCAUUUUUCUCCUACCUCCCACCUUCAUCCCCACCCCUCUAAAAAGCCUUAGGUUUCUCCGUUUUGAAAUGUGGCCUUAAAAUUAUUUUUGGAAAGCUGGCAUCCUCCCCCUCUAAUUUCCCCCACCAUCACAGAAGAGAGAACAUCUUGAAGCCUGGGUGUGUGGCGGCCUCCUGAGCAAAGGGACUGCCAAUCUGUAGUCUGCAGAUGCACUAGGAAUGACUUAAAUGUCAUCUUUAAGAAAAAAUGUUCUCAUAUUUUUUCCUAUGGGCAAAAUGAAGUCUUGGCUGCUCGCGCAGUUCUGAGCACUCUCCGUGUUGCCGUGGCACUGGCUGGCACCACCAGCAGAUGUUCACUACAGCUUCAGUCUCCCCUUCCCUCGGGACCCAGUGACUUUAGGUACUUCAUUUAAGGAUGAAUCAGGAGUGUUUCUCCGUGUAUCGCUUCAUCUUUCUUGCCUGGAAAGUGACAGCAUGGAGUAUUCCCAGUGGAUAGGUCACGUUCUUGAAGGGGUGGUCCACUCUGUCCUUCAGACUCCACCUAGAAUCCCCUUCCAUCACUCCAGUGCUGAUGGAAGCCAAAGACAACCCCAGGGUUUUCAUAGGAAGUUCGCUGGUAUUGGGCAUAAUUGUCUUUAUCCAUCGAUCUUUACUUUUAAAGGAAAAAAGAGAGAGGCUCCUCAUGUCAUCUGUAGCAUUUGUCUUGAUGUUUGUUUUUAGAGGCCUGGAGAUAAGUCAUUACUGCCUCCUUCUUUGUUUUCAAAGAUAUGUGGUGAUAUAGUUUUUAAAAAUAACUAUUUUGUUAUAGAUCAUAAUAUGCAUAAAACUGUACAGAAAUAUUUUGUAAUGUAUUGAUUUUAAAAAAGAGAGAAUCUGUAAAUAAAAGUUUAAAAAAAUAAGAGAGAGUUCACAUGGCACACACUGAAAGAUGUAGAUAUUUUGCUAUUUAUUUAAAGGAGUAAGUAUUUUAAGAGAUAUUAAACUAUCUGAAAUUGACCAAUAAUGAAAGUUCUAAUCAUCUGAAGACUUGCCAUCCAGUCCCGUUCUCGCAGACAACUGUGUUACCGCCCAUAUCUGCCUCUUUCCUGUCUUUUGAUUUUAGCAGAAAACAACAACAAAAUUGUGCCUUAGCUGUAUUUCUGUCUAGGGGAAUUUGUUUCUGUCCAACAAAGCAACUUUUUUUUUUUUUUUGCAGAAAACAGUGGAUUAUUAAAUACUGUAUUAUACCAAAAACACCACAGGUGUACAUAGACGCUUUCUGCCAUACUGUGUUUUCAGAUGCAGAAUUUUAAAAUAAAAAAAAAAUGUCUCUAUG